AUCUAUAUAAUAUAAAAAGUAUUUUUGACUUCCAAUCAUUAAGUUUACACCUGUAAUAUAGAUA
rnacentral:tRNA from 1 species